UUCAUCAACAUUUUAGUUGCCUUUUUUUUAUUUAAAAAAAUAACAACUUGGCUGAAUACCUUAUGCCAAAGUCAUAACAGAGAAUUGAAACUGGUAUAUCGAAAGGAAGAGGCAGGUGUAUUGCAGUUGGCAUUUACCUUUGUCUACAUGCACUUUUAAGUCCAGAUAGGCCACAGCUGAGCUGGCGAGCACAAGCAAACAGAUUGCUCUUCCGAAUCCUGAAGCCAGUAUCAGGAUGUCCUUCCACAGAAAAGCGACAAUGUUUUCAUGAAUGUGGACUCGGACAAAUACUGCAUAUAUAUUAGUAGGCCAGCAUUUAUUAUAAUUUGUCAGUAUGGAUUGAUGUUUUAAAUAGUCAUUGGAGUUGACUUUUAAGCCUACCAUUACCAUGAUAACUGUGACUGCAUAUAAGAAUUGGAAUUAAUUUUGUCUUAUCUUAAUGUUAACAUACAGUUAGCCUACCGUGCAUGUUUUCAUUCAAAGGACACAGCUUUCAAUAAAGUUCAUCACAUUGAGCUAGCACUUGAUAACAACUGUUGUGCUAUUCUUGGUAUGUGAGACUUAUCUGCUGCAUUUGAAGUUAUUGACCAGCUGAUUCUGAUUGAACAUCUUGAAUACUUCUACAGAAUAUCUGUUAUGCCAUUUUAUUGACAAGAUUUUACUGAAGCAACUGAACAUAAAUUAUCACAAAACUCUCUAUUAAGAUUACCACAAGGCUCUCUAUUAGGAUAACCACAAGGCUCUCAAUUAGGAUUACCACAAGGCUCUCAAUUAGGAUUACCACAAGGCUCUCAAUUAGGAUUACCACAAGGCUCUCAUUAGGAUUACAACAAGGCUCUGUAUGAGGAUAACCACAAGGCUCUCUAUUAAGAUUACCACAAGGCUUUCAAUUAGGAUUACCACAAGGCUCUCAAUUAGGAUUACCACAAGGCUCUCAAUUAGGAUUACCACAAGGCUCUCAAUUAGGAUUACCACAAGGCUCUCAAUUAGGAUUACCACAAGGCUCUCUAUUAGGAUUACCACAAGGCUCUCUAUUAAGAUUACAACAAGGCUCUGUAUGAGGAUUACCACAAGGCUGGUUUGACAUAUUUAAUUGCAUAGAUGAGUUCAAAUUAGAUAUGCUUACAUUAAAUCAAGACAAAACUGAACAUAUUGUUUUUGCUCUUAAGCAACUAAAAAUGGACAUAUUAGAUUUCUGGCUUGCUUUCGUUGAAUCUUCAGUGUGUAAUGCUUAAUUUGUUAAUAGGUAUAUAGGUAUAUUUAUACAGUUGUAAUGAUUAUUCAUUCUGUAAUUGUAUGUAGUUUUAUUGUAUCAACCUUUUUAUUUUAUCUGAUGUGACAUAUUUUAGUUUGUUAAUUGACAAGAUUAUUCAACAUUUCAUGACAUGUAUAAGUGUGAUUUGAAAAUAGCCCCGUCCCCUCAGACAACCAUUUCAAUUUUUUAAAUGAUAUUUUGAAAUCUAGUAUAAAUAUUAGUUAAAGGAACCUGCAAGAUAAGAUUUUUCUUUGUUUAAUUUGUAAUGAUCAGUUAAAGAGGAUAACUUUUGUGUAUUUGUCCAUCUUCACCUUCUAUCCAAAACUUCCUCCUGAACAUGCAUGCAAUAUAUGACACUGGACGUAAAGCAACCAACAAUCACUCAAUCCAAAGUCCAAUACGAUAUAAUCUAAAAGUGAUUCAUGUAUGAAGGGUUGGGUUUUGAUAAAUCACAGAAUAAGAUGAUUUAAAAGAACAAGAGUUUAGGGAUUGCUGCAGUGAUUGAUUGGUAAGAUAGACAUAAUUUGGUUUCUAUGGCACCUUCAUCAGAAUUAAAACUACAGAGGUAUACUAAAGCCUGAAGAAAAAAAUAGUAUUUUACAAUGUCACCAUCAGGAGAAAUUAUAAAUAGGUAGUGAAAGUAGAUGUGAAAGAUAACUUGAUCAAGAAUAUUUAAUAAAAUAUGUUUUUUUUAAUAAUUUGGACGACAUUUUACUUGCAAUUAUGUAUCAUUUCCUACAUGGGAAAUAGUACAGACUUGCAGUCCUGUACCAAUUCAACACUUGAAGAAGUAUGUACGGU